CCAGUCAGUCUGUUAACUUGAUGCUUGCUUCUAGUUCCGUGUGAGUAGGAAGGAGAGCCAUGGACCAGCUGUUCACAGUCAUUCAUGGGUCCCAGGAGGAAGGAGAUACAGUCCGGGGUGUGCUCUUGAUCUUUCAAGGAAGAGUUUCGAAAGAGAUGAGAUGGCUUGGAAAUCUUUUUCCUCAGCUUACGAAACGUUAAGAUGAAAAGAAGAAGCUAAAGUGGAUUAUCCCUGGGACUUGAAAACUGCAAACCUGGACAGCUUCACAGCAUCACCUGAACCCACUCAGGAUGACAGAAGAUGAGAAUUGUCAAAACAAGAAGCAAGUACUACUAUAGAGGCUUAUGGGGUUGGUGGGGCUGUGGAUUCAGAACGUGUUGAUUUCUCAGAUAUGAAUCUGGGUUAUAAGUGAUAGUGCAUAUAUACUCAAGUGGAUUUUGUAGACAAAGCAACAGCAGGGCUAAGGACAGGCCUAAUGGGCCUUCCCACCAAGCAUCUGAAUUAGAACAGACCUCUGCUCGGCAGUAUGUUAUUAUUCUCAGGCAGACUCCUCCAAACUGUGGCUACAUGCUGUGUUCCGGCAGGACAUUGGCUGAGAAGGGCUGAGGAUGUGCCAUGCUGGAUGUUUCCAAAGGUUAAUAUACUCUCAGCCUAAACACGGAAGACAAGCAGAGGAGAGAAACACAGAAGAAGAUGGAGCGACUCCCUUUG